rnacentral:tRNA from 1 species
UCCCUGGUGGUCCAGUGGUUAGGACUCUGUGCUCUCACAGCUGAGGGCCUGGGUUCAAUCCCUGGUCAGGGAA